rnacentral:lncRNA from 1 species
UACUAAUAAAAUAUUUAAGUUUUUUCAUACUUACGAGAUUUUUCAAUCACUUAAGUCCAAUUCUUUUUUGUCCAUUUUCCCUAACUUUAUACUUUUUUAGGCCGAAAAUCCCACCCAGGAUCAAUUCCCAGCCCAGAUCACCAGACCUUCAGACGCAAUUCAAUAUCCAGCUUGGAAGAACGUAGCUUCAGACUCCGAUCCGUCCUCGAGCCAGAUACCUCGAAACCACCCACGAACAACCGAAGAACGAUCGUCGAUAUCGUGGCCAACCGGUCACCGGUGAGGGACAUCGGUGGCGUUUCUAUCUACGCCACCCGACGUUGGAACUCCCGGUUGAAGGGAGGUACCAGCCGGACAGGGUAAUGUCCAACAAGCAAGUUUUCCAAGACUCUCUAGUGUGUAAGAACUGCAAGCCGCUGCAGAAGUCGCUGGAAGGUGCGGCCUGGCCGGCGUGUCAGUCAAGCCUCUACUACCAGUUCCUAAAAAACCGGAGCUCGAAGAAGCCGCCUGCUAAUCCGACGACAAGGACGGUGGCAAGCUCGAAUGGUGGUGGUGUCAAGCAGAAGGAGUUGAAGAGGAUGCGGCUCAUGAAGGAUGAGACUGGUGAGCUGGGUAUCUAUAUCGAGCGCCAGGACCCUUCUAGGUCCGCCGCCUCUUCCUUCAUGAUCUCCUACAUCGAGCCCAAUGGAGUUGUCGACAGGGACGGCCGAUUAUCCGUGGGCGACGAAAUCGUGAAAGUGAACAGUUCACGUCUCCGAGGAUUGACGAUCCAAGAGGCGAGACGAACCCUUCAGAACACUCCGACGGAGGUCGAGAUCGUCAUUAGCCGGACACGAACAAAUUCGAGCCGGACUAUCACAGUCAGGAACGAUUCGAUCCGGAGAAGCGGAGUCACCACCAGACCAAGCCUCCGUCCAUCGCGGAUGGUGAGCUUCGGAGAAAGAUGACACUGGAAUACGACUCGAUUCGAUUUUUCAUCCUCGAGCUUUCGUCCAAUCCUCAAAAAGGCCCAAAUCCACCUCGCACAGGACAAGGAUUGAAUUCGCACCUACCGUCCGGCAGGCAUCCAUGCCGGAAAUUAACCUUAGGGACCCUGCCUCGAACCCCAAUGUCAACAGGUAUUUCGAACUUAUGACGCAUAUCCAGAGACAAGUGACCCUCCACUGGCCUCUUGGUGACAAGCUUUUACUUUCGGGGAUUCAACACUUCCUUACGGACAAUUGGACGUAUUUCUGUCAAACGGAACUAUGUGCAUUAAGACAUGAGCCUUGAGACCCAUAAGAAUACAUGCAUACCAGGGUUCACGUCAUAAUGCACAUAGUUUCCUUUGACAGAAAUGCGUCCAAUUAGAAGGGAGCAAAACUCAUCACUCUUUUUUCGGCUGUUGACCUUCCUACAUGGUGGAUGAUGAGAUUGGGGUGACGUCAUGAGCCAAAUAAGUUUCCCAAAUUUCGGCUUUUUUUGCAAACACAUUGUCAAACAUCAACCAUGUAUAGGUGAGACAACAAUUUAAUGUUGAAGUCCCGAAAGUAGAAGCUUUCACCAUAGCCGAGAUACGAGUGGAAGGUCUCAUGUCUCCGCACAUAUCUAUGACUAAGGGACAAUGCUGUCAUGCCAAAGAAGAACACCGUAUGAACAUUCGAAUGUUGCCAAAUUUUACUCUCAGAAAAUAUUAAUUUUGAAGAAAGUUAUGAAUAUUUUUCUUUCAAAUUUUCAGACUUUCUAGAUUCAAUUACGAACGAAAUAUCUUAUAAAUUGGAAGAGAUAUUUGUAUAUUCAAAAAUGUCCCUGAAAAUUCGAGAUUUGUCGAAAGAUAUUUGGCAACGCCUGAUGAC